rnacentral:rRNA from 1 species
GACGAACGCUGGCGGCGUGCUUAACACAUGCAAGUCGAACGGUAAGGCCCCAGCUUGCUGGGGUACACGAGUGGCGAACGGGUGAGUAACACGUGGGUGACCUGCCCCGCACUUCGGGAUAAGCCUGGGAAACUGGGUCUAAUACCGGAUAGGACCGCACCGUGAGGGUGUGGUGGAAAGUGUUUCGGUGUGGGAUGGGCCCGCGGCCUAUCAGCUUGUUGGUGGGGUAAUGGCAUACCAAGGCGGCGACGGGUAGCCGGCCUGAGAGGGUGGACGGCCACAUUGGGACUGAGACACGGCCCAGACUCCUACGGGAGGCAGCAGUGGGGAAUAUUGCACAAUGGGCGGAAGCCUGAUGCAGCGACGCCGCGUGGGGGAUGACGGCCUUCGGGUUGUAAACUCCUUUCACCAUCGACGAAGGUUUUCUGACGGUAGAUGGAGAAGAAGCACCGGCUAACUACGUG